UUGACAAAUGUCAUUCGCCUGUCCUACGCAGCCCGGAUUCUGUGGGAGCUGCGCCGUUCUUUCUAUCCGUAGCACCACAUGAUUCGGCUUCGUGGUGCAGGGCAUCAUCCUGUUGGCUGA
rnacentral:pre_miRNA from 15 species